rnacentral:rRNA from 1 species
UGGCGGACGGGUGAGUAACGCGUGGGUAACCUACCUCAUACAGGGGGAUAACAGUUGGAAACGACCGCUAAUACCGCAUAACCCGCUAGUAUCGCAUGAUACAGACGGAAAAGAUUUAUCGGUAUGAGAUGGACCCGCGUCUGAUUAGCCAGUUGGCAGGGUAACGGCCUACCAAAGCGACGAUCAGUAGCCGGCCUGAGAGGGUGAACGGCCACAUUGGGACUGAGACACGGCCCAAACUCCUACGGAAGGCAGCAG